rnacentral:ncRNA from 1 species
AAAUAAUUAAUUUAAAAAAUUUUUUGCAUGUAACUUUUUUGAAGAAUAAACUUUCUAAAUGAUUAUUUAUUUAAUUUCAGUGAUUAAUUUUAAUUUAAAUAAAUUUUUUUAUUUGAUAAAUUUUUUUUAAAAACAGGAAAAUGUUAUGCCAGCAUUCGCGGUUAUAUUUCAUGUUUGAGUUAAUUAAUUUUUUUUUUUUUGGAUUUUAGAUUAUUUUUUAAAAAAUUUUUAAUUUAGGUGAAAUUUAUUAAUUAUAAAUAUUUUUUCUAUUUAAUCUAAUAUUUAGACCAGGAUUAGAUACCCUGUUAUUUUAGAAAAUUUUAUUGAAAUUCCAGUGAGUAUUUAUUUUAUGAAAUUUAAAAGAUUUGGCGGUUUUUAAAUCUUUUUAGAGGAACCUGUAAUUUAAAUGAUAAUCCACGAUUAAUUUUACCUAAAUUAUUUUGUAUAUCUCUGUCGUUGAAUCUAUUGAAAAUUAAUUUUCUUUAUAUAUUAUUAUAUUUAUGUUAGGUCAAGGUGCAAUUAUAUUUAGGUUAUUAUGGGUUACAAUAAUAUUUUUUUAAAAGAUUUUUUAAUAUGAAUUAAUUUUGAAUUUGGAUUUAAAAGUAAUUAUUUUUAUUUAAAAUUUUGAAUCAAGUUCUUAGAAAUGUACAUAUCGCCCGUCAUUCUCAUAAAUUGAGACAAGUCGUAACAAAGUAGAUGUACUGGAAAGUGUAUCUAGAAA